UGACUCUCGAUGCUGUAGUGGUGUGAUUGAUUCGACCUACGGUACCUCGGCUACCAUAAUGGGGUUGCUGUAGUUUGACUAUGUAGAAAAUCUCAUCUCAUGCAUUUCGGUAUGCACAAAAACUUUUAAACAAAGUAGUGGAAUAAAAAUUUCUAAAUUAUUUUCAGUAUCAUUUUAGGACAACCAUUCAACAUAAUAUUUUAUCAUUAUGCCAAGGCAACCCUAUGUCUGAACGAUAUUAAAAUAAUUUUUGAUUAGAUCUAAUCUAAUCUAGCAUGCAUAAAAAGAUCAUAUUUCAAAAUAAAGUCCAAGCAUCAUCAUUAAAUACAAGAUUAAAGACCUAAAAGGAAGGAUCUGGAUUUAUACUUUUGUGUGGGUAGAUCUUCACCACGAUCCGAUGGUCUGUGAAUAUUUUCGAGGUCCCAUUGUAGCUACACAAGUAUCCACCUCUAUAAAUAUCCACAUGAGGCUGAUCUGAUAAGGAGAUCCCGAUCUUAUCGAGAUGCUAGCUCCUUUACAGAGAUCGUUCCCUCGAUUGUUGAAUUGAUUUGAUCUUUUGAUUUUAUUUAAAAAAAAAAGAUCUUACAUGAGGAGGAAGAAAUCAGAUCAUAUCUGAUUUUUUUUUUUAUUUUCUCUUCUCAAGAGAAUUGAAAGAAGAUCUAGAGAAGAGGAGAGAUCAAAUCUCCUUCUUCUCUUUUGUUUGUCUAACUCUUGGAUAACUUUCUAGGAGA
rnacentral:lncRNA from 1 species